CAGAGGGACCACCAAGCAUCCUCCUUCGGUGCUGCUCUGUAGCCCUCCCGGGCCGCUGGAAGUACAGGGGAAAAUAACACACCAGUAACCGGAAGGGGGACGUGAAAGUAAAGAGUACUCAGGCAAGGAAGGACCCAGUGCCCAGCCUCAGCUGCAUCGGUGACAGCUCAACCUUCCCAGGGGCCUACCCACAGGGCAGGGAACAGCUUCGUUGCCAUUUCACUUCCAGACAGUAGAUGUCGCUGGUUUUCUGUCAGAAGAGUCUUGGAAGCCGUCUACUCAUCCUUGAGGGUCUCCUGUAUCAAAUCCAUGCUGAACCACCUCAGACUCAGUUCAGACAGCGGUUGUCCCUCUCUUGGAUUUGUGGAACAGUCUCAGCCUGUGGUUCUCUGGCACCCUCUCUCCACUGGUUCCAGCGUCAGUCUGUCUUCUCAGCACAGCCAGAGUGAGCUCUGGGAACCAGCUCCUUCCAUACAGUCCUGGAGGCUGGUCAGCCAGUCAGUCAAUUGCUGGUCUCCACCUGCAGUGAGAGACCCUGUCUCAGACAAUAAGUCCUGGAAAAAAGUGAAUUCAAAGAUGAGCCUCUACUUUUCUGCUUUUUUGCCGACGAGGAAAUGGAAGGAUCGAAUAUGAAACACAGGCUUAUGAAACAUGACUUGAAAGUUGUGGAGAACGUCAUAGCUCAGUCACUGUUGAUUAAAUCCAGUGAAGGCAGCUAUGGCUUUGGGCUUGAAGACAAAAAUAAAGUUCCAAUAAUAAAGUUAGUGGAAAAGGGGUCUAAUGCUGAGGUUGUGUCUCUGAAGUUCUGUAAAGUAGUGUUGGAUUUGUAGCAGCUGAGGCUGUGUCUCGGUGAUGAUGGACUGGGGAGGUGGUGGUACUUCAGAGAUCUACAGCUCCCAAUUACCGAGUUCCCAAGUGGCAAGUUCUGUGACUUCAGGAUCUUCCCAGUCAUGAAAUCUAUCCUGGAGCUCUGUGGGAGCUACAUAGGAUGUGACAACUGUGCUGUGUGUCACAUGGGCCUGGUAAUGAACAACACGGUGCGAAAGGACAAGAGAGUCACUAACACGGUAAAAAGGAGAGGGUAUGGCAGUGCAUGCCUUCAAUCCCAGCACUCGGGGGGCAGAGGUGGGCGCAUCUCUGAGUUUAAGGUUAGCCUGGUUUACAGGGUGAGUUCCAGGACAGCCAGGGUUACAAAGGAAACCCUGUCUCAGAAAACCAAAAACCAAAGACAAACAGAAAACGAAGUAAAAAAGGAAAUCACGAAAUUUCCUUGAAACAAAUGAAAAUAGCAACAUAACUUAUUAAAACUUAAGGGAUCCAGUGAAAGCAGUACUACCAUAAAAGUUUAUAGCAAUAAAAACCUCCAUAAAAAAGAAGUAACCCAACAAACAAUGCAAAGCAAAGCAACCCCAAAUCCAGCAGAAGGAGAAAAAGUGAGAAAAAUCUAAGCAAAUAAAAGACACCACAAACAAUACAAAGAAUCAAUAAAGCAGAGGGUUUUGUUCGUUUGUUUGUUUUUAAAUAAAAACCUUUAGCUAGAGUAAUUUAAAAGAGAGAAGACUCAUAUAAAGUUGGGUAAAAGGUACAGUUUAUUAUGGCUGCUCCAGAUAUACACAGUCACUGGAGAUUGUUAGGAAAACUGUAUGCUCACCAACUGGAGAAGUGGAUAAAUAAAUACAUGAACAUUAAAAAAUUAAAUACAGCAUGUAGAAAGAGAGGACACACUUCCUGACUUGAAAAUGUAUCACACAGCUCAUACAGUACUGGUACAAGGGCAGCCACACAGACCAACGGGGCAAAACGGAGUGCAUCGAAAUAAGGACGCGUUUGCUGCCAGCUGAUUUUGACAAAGGUCUGAACAACACCCAGACAGAAGGAAGCCUCUUUAAUGCAUGGUUCUGGGGAAACUGGUUAUUUGCACGCAGAAGACUGAAAGUCGACCCGUCUUUCAUUUUGUAAGAAAAUCAAAUUAAAAAAAAAGGUGUCGAAGACCCGACCAUGAGAACUGGACUUGUGAAACUUCCAGAAGGAAGCGUGGGGAAACACUCCAGCACAUUGACACAGGCAUUGACUUGGGAUAAGAUGCCCCAAAUCCAGGAAAUAAGACCAGAAAUGAACAAAUCGGACUGCAUCAAGUCAGGGAACUUUGGUCCAGUAAAUCGACUAAAGCAUUGAAAAGUCAAACUAUACAUGGGAAAAAUAUUUAUAAGCUAUUCUUGUGACCAGGAGUUAAUAUCCCAAAUAGACAACCAAUUUAAAAGGGCAAUGACAAAAAUCCCCCAAAUAAUAAUUAAAAAUCAGAAAAAUAUGAAUAGAUUCUUCUUCAAAUGAAGAAAUUCAAAUGGUCAACAGAUGUAUGAAAAAAUGUUCAACUUUGUUGGCUGUCAGGUAAAUGUUAGUCAAAAUCACAAUGAGAUUUUAUUUCAUCCUGGUUAGAAAAUCUCUUAUCAAAAAAUUAAAAAUGUAGCAAACACUGGCAAGGAUGUAAAGAAAAGGGGACUCUCGUGUAUUCUUGGUAGGAAUUCUCCGACUGCAGGAAUGAUAUCAGUAUAGUCAUUACAAAGAACAGUGGGAAUGGAGGCUCUUCAGGAAACAACAAAAAAUAUAUCUACCAUACGAUCCAGUUAUCCAGUCACUGAAGAAACCCAAGGAAAUGCCAGCACAUCACAGAUGUAUUCCUGGCUGCACUAAGUCACAAGGGCCAAGACGUGGCAUCAACUUAGAUGCCCAUCAAGAAAGUGGUGGCUACACAUAUAUUUGUAUUUCAAUGACAUAGUAACAAAUAACUGUGUAAUAUAUCAUAUACUGGUUAUAUGAAAUAUACUGAUAACAUGUUAUUCAGUAGGCUAUCAAGAAUAAUAGCCUAUCAUUUUACUAGUAGUAAAACUUCUGAAGCUGGAAUACACUAUGUUAGGUGAAGUAAGUCCAAUUCAAAAAGGCAAUUUCUGCACGUUCUCUCAUAUAUGUGGAUGCUUCUCUGGAUUACAGUGUAUAAAUGAUGAGAGAUUGGGAGGGACAGGUGGGACAUCAGAUCACCAGUAUCCGAGAAGUUGUAAGAAGCAGUGACGUCUAGCGUUCUGUCAGAGGGGGCAACAUGAUAAUUUACCACAGCCUAAAACAGAGUUUUGAAGAGCUCCAAAGUUCCAAACAUAACGCAAUGAUGAGGCACAUGAGUGCCUUGAUUUUGCCAGUGCAUAUUUAUGUGGGGAUUGAAGUGGGUGCUAUAGCCUCUACCUGUGUCAAAUUAUUGCUUGUUAAUCCAACAUGGUUAGGAAGACGGAGACAUUGCCUACUCUGAUAUGAUCAAUACAUACAGAAACAUACAUUGAACCACUGCACAGCACCCCAUAAAUUUGUACAACUAAAAUAAAUUAAAAACUAAAACAAAAUUGAAUAGCUUGUGAAAGUUGUAUAUCCCUGGCUCUGGAGUUUCUAUGAAAAGUGAAUGCUUUCUCAUUGGGUACUGAAUUAAAAAUGUCUGGUAAUAGAGUUUCUGUCAAAUAUGAGGGCAGAUUUGAAUUAACAUUUUUGAGGUAAAAAACUAGUACAUAUACCAAUAAAUUGUGUUUUGGGGAAAACAAUUGGUCUUACCUGGUGAAUUAGAAUUUAAAAUAUGACUUACUUUUCAUGUAUGUUUUUUCUUAUAAAUUAGACUCAAACACAUGUUCUUGCUUCUAGAUACAUAUCUACAUAAACCAGUACAUUUAAAAAUAGAUCAUUUUAAAAUGUGACAAAAUUUGGAAGUCUGGCUGAGGAAGAUUGAGCAGGGAGUGUGAACUUCCUGUGACCUGGAGAAAUGAAAAAGUGAUUUCAACUAGAAAUAACAUGUCUCCCUCUGGAACAGGAAGGUAAUUUAUGGAAACACCUUUGCAGCAGCAUCCACACAUGUGACUUGAGGUCAGAUGUUCUAUGUGCUCCAGGAGACCUCACAGAGUUGGGUUAGAAAGUGUGGGAUACGCUGCCUGAGCCACAGACAAGAAGCGCUGUUGGCCAGUGAGGAAGGAUUGCUGCAUAAUCAAGCCCAGGAAAGCUGCAGGAAGAGGAGGUGCAGGAGCCCACCCCUACGGCUGCCAGCACUUUGUCCCAUCAAAGGGGAUGCAAGGCAAGUUGAUGGGGACAGCUUCAUUCAAAAUCUAUUCCUAAUUCUUUGUGGAGUCUCCUUUCUGAGGAUAUAGGAAAAGACAUUGAAGAACAUAGUUUACAUUGCACAGAAUUCAAUUCAACUAACAUUUCAGAUGUAACAGACAUAAACAGGUGGUUAGGCCCAUGUUAAUCCAUGCUUCCUUUUCACUGUUUGUUCAUUCUUUCCUCCCUCCGCUCCCUUUACCACCCCUUUCCCCUC